rnacentral:rRNA from 1 species
CCUACGGGGGGCAGCAGUGAGGAAUAUUGGUCAAUGGCCGGAAGGCUGAACCAGCCAAGCCGCGUGAGGGAGGAAGGCGCAGAGCGUCGCAGACCUCUUUUGCCGGGGGACAUAAGGCCGGACUCGUCCGGUCCUGAGGGUACCCGGAGAAAAAGCAUCGGCUAACUCCGGGCCAGCAGCCGCGGUAAUACGGAGGAUGCGAGCGUUAUCCGGAUUCAUGGGGUUUAAAGGGUGUGCAGGCGGGCCGUUAAGCCGGAGGUGAAAUCGCGGGGCUCAACUCCGCCGAGCCGGCGGAACUGGGGGCAUAGAGUGCGGCGGAGGCAUGCGGAAUGCGCGGUGUAGCGGUGAAAUGCAUAGAUAUCGCGCAGAACCCCGAUUGCGAAGGCAGCGAGCCGUGCCGCCACUGACGCUGAGGCACGAAAGCGCGGGGAUCGAACAGGAUUAGAUACCCGUGUAGUC